CUGUCCUGCAGCGAGGAGUUUCUUUCCCAUCUCCAGGUGGCUUUCAACAGUCGCGGCAAAAAGACAAGAAACUGAAAGAAAAAAACAGAGCUACGAAGAAGUCGAAAAUCAUUGAGGAGUCCUUGCUAGUGGAAGAUAAGUUUGAGCAGGCUGGUGUAAUAUUCAGCAGAGCCACUGACAGCUUUGGUGGGGCUCAGGACAAAGUCACCCACCACCACCACCCCACAUCCAGUGCUACACCUUCAAACAUGAAGUUGUCAACCAGUGAAUAUGUUUGGCUUAUCUUGGAUCCCCUGGAGCUGUAGGUCCUGCCUGAUGAUCUUGAUUGGCGUGACAGGCCGUAGUACGAGGGCCCAUAGUAAGGAGUUCUGUUCCUGUAGGCCCCCGCGUAGGUCUGAGGAGCCAUGUAUGUCCGCGGAGCUAAAGCAUAGAUCACCCUGAAAGGUGCAGUCCAUCCCAACAAAGCAGAAUAUAACUGCGAAGAAUCCCAUCGCCAUGCCCACCAUCAGAAGUCCUCUGACACCUUGC